UGUAACCAGUGUCACAAGAUAUUUACAUGCCAGAUGCGCUGAAGAUUCAUAUGUCCCUUCAUGCUUCAACCACCAUUCCAGAGGAUAUGCAUCCAUGCUGAUGACAAGCUCUGCUUGAUAACGAUCCAAAGCAGAGCAGACCGGUGCAUGUUCAUUUUCAUCGUCUGAGUCAGAUGCCACCAGCAGAAGAUGAUCCAUCUUGUUUCAAUCAGCCAGUCUGGUGCUUCUGUGUGAAUGAGGAAUUAGAAGGUGGGUGUGGAACAAGAGAGUUGUUUCAAGGUAAUCGAAGACACCAAAUUAUACCAGCAGUUUUUCAGAAGACAACCAGGUCAUUCUUAUUGGUGAAAGAAGAGAGGAAUUGAAUUCAUGCAUUUGGCUGACCAUGGUGUAGCAUCACCAUGUGCUUACGUAGCUGAUAGGAGUUACACCAUUUCUUCUGC